rnacentral:rRNA from 1 species
CCUACGGGAGGCUGCAGUGGGGGAUAUUGGACAAUGGGGGGAACCCUGAUCCAGCGACGCCGCGUGAGUGAAGAAGUAUUUCGGUAUGUACAGCUCUGUCAGCAGGGAAGAAAGAAAUGACGGUACCUGACCAAGAAGCCCCGGCUAACUACGUGCCAGCAGCCGCGGUAAUACGUAGGGGGCAGGCGUUAUCCGGAAUUACUGGGUGUAAAGGGAGCGUAGACGGUUCAGGAAGUCUGUGGUGAACGGCCGGGAGCCAACCCCGGGACUGCUCGGGAAACGAUUGAACGUGAGUGCAGGAGAGGUAAGCGGAAUUCCUAGUGUAGCGGUGAAAUGCGUAGAUAUUAGGAGGAACACCAGUGGCGAAGGCGGCUUACUGGACUGUAACUGACGUUGAGGCUCGAAAGCGUGGGGAGCAAACAGGAUUAGAUACCCGGGUAGUC